GCAAGGACAUGUGGAGCGCUUAGAAGUGAGAAUGCCGGUGUGAGUAGCGAAAGACGGGUGAGAAUCCCGUCCACCGAUUGACUAAGGUUUCCAGAGGAAGGCUCGUCCGCUCUGGGUUAGUCGGGUCCUAAGCUGAGGCCGACAGGCGUAGGCGAUGGAUAACAGGUUGAUAUUCCUGUACCACCUAGUAUCGUUUUAAUCGAUGGGGGGACGCAGUAGGAUAGGCGAAGCGUGCUGUUGGAGUGCACGUCCAAGCAGUAAGGCUGAGUGUUAGGCAAAUCCGGCACUCAUAAGGCUGAGCUGUGAUGGGGAGAGGAAAUUGUUUCCUCGAGUCGUUGAUUUCACACUGCCGAGAAAAGCCUCUAGAUAGAUAACAGGUGCCCGUACCGCAAACCGACACAGGUAGUCAAGAUGAGAAUUCUAAGGUGAGCGAGCGAACUCUCGUUAAGGAACUCGGCAAAAUGACCCCGUAACUUCGGGAGAAGGGGUGCUCUUUAGGGUUCACGCCCAGAAGAGCCGCAGUGAAUAGGCCCAAGCGACUGUUUAUCAAAAACACAGGUCUCUGCUAAACCGUAAGGUGAUGUAUAGGGGCUGACGCCUGCCCGGUGCUGGAAGGUUAAGAGGAGUGGUUAGCUUCUGCGAAGCUACGAAUCGAAGCCCCAGUAAACGGCGGCCGUAACUAUAACGGUCCUAAGGUAGCGAAAUUCCUUGUCGGGUAAGUUCCGACCCGCACGAAAGGCGUAACGAUUUGGGCACUGUCUCAACGAGAGACUCGGUGAAAUCAUAGUACCUGUGAAGAUGCAGGUUACCCGCGACAGGACGGAAAGACCCCGUGGAGCUUUACUGUAGCCUGAUAUUGAAAUUCGGCACAGCUUGUACAGGAUAGGUAGGAGCCUUUGAAACGUGAGCGCUAGCUUACGUGGAGGCGUUGGUGGGAUACUACCCUAGCUGUGUUGGCUUUCUAACCCGCACCACUUAUCGUGGUGGGAGACAGUGUCAGGCGGGCAGUUUGACUGGGGCGGUCGCCUCCUAAAAGGUAACGGAGGCGCUCAAAGGUUCCCUCAGAAUGGUUGGAAAUCAUUCAUAGAGUGUAAAGGCAUAAGGGAGCUUGACUGCGAGACCUACAAGUCGAGCAGGGUCGAAAGACGGACUUAGUGAUCCGGUGGUUCCGCAUGGAAGGGCCAUCGCUCAACGGAUAAAAGCUACCCCGGGGAUAACAGGCUUAUCUCCCCCAAGAGUUCACAUCGACGGGGAGGUUUGGCACCUCGAUGUCGGCUCAUCGCAUCCUGGGGCUGUAGUCGGUCCCAAGGGUUGGGCUGUUCGCCCAUUAAAGCGGUACGCGAGCUGGGUUCAGAACGUCGUGAGACAGUUCGGUCCCUAUCCGUCGUGGGCGUAGGAAAUUUGAGAGGAGCUGUCCUUAGUACGAGAGGACCGGGAUGGACAUACCUCUGGUGUACCAGUUGUCGUGCCAACGGCAUAGCUGGGUAGCUAUGUAUGGACGGGAUAAGUGCUGAAAGCAUCUAAGCAUGAAGCCCCCCUCAAGAUGAGAUUUCCCAACUUCGGUUAUAAGAUCCCUCGAAGAUGACGAGGUUAAUAGGUUCGAGGUGGAAGCGUGGUGACACGUGGAGCUGACGAAUACUAAUCGAUCGAAGACUUAAUCAA
rnacentral:rRNA from 1 species